AUACUUACCUAGCAGGGGCAAUAUCAUGAUGGUUUUCCCAUGGCAAGGCUUAUCCAUUACACUCCAGAUGUGUUGACCCUGCAAUUUCCCAAAUGUGUAAAAUUUGCCUUUAUAACUGGUAGUAAAGUUAUACUUUA
rnacentral:snRNA from 13 species